GGUUUUAUAGUAAAAAAUAAUACGUUAGACUGCAAUUCUAAAAAUGCAUUAAUUUGCUAAAGCUU
rnacentral:tRNA from 1 species